rnacentral:rRNA from 1 species
GACGAACGCUGGCGGCGUGCUUAACACAUGCAAGUCGAACGGAAAGGCCCUGCUUUUGUGGGGUGCUCGAGUGGCGAACGGGUGAGUAACACGUGAGUAACCUGCCCUUGACUUUGGGAUAACUUCAGGAAACUGGGGCUAAUACCGGAUAGGAGCUCCUGCUGCAUGGUGGGGGUUGGAAAGUUUCGGCGGUUGGGGAUGGACUCGCGGCUUAUCAGCUUGUUGGUGGGGUAGUGGCUUACCAAGGCUUUGACGGGUAGCCGGCCUGAGAGGGUGACCGGCCACAUUGGGACUGAGAUACGGCCCAGACUCCUACGGGAGGCAGCAGUGGGGAAUAUUGCACAAUGGGCGGAAGCCUGAUGCAGCAACGCCGCGUGCGGGAUGACGGCCUUCGGGUUGUAAACCGCUUUCGCCUGUGACGAAGCGUGAGUGACGGUAAUGGGUAAAGAAGCACCGGCUAACUACGUGCCAGCAGCCGCGGUGAUACGUAGGGUGCGAGCGUUGUCCGGAUUUAUUGGGCGUAAAGGGCUCGUAGGUGGUUGAUCGCGUCGGAAGUGUAAUCUUGGGGCUUAACCCUGAGCGUGCUUUCGAUACGGGCUGACUUGAGGAAGGUAGGGGAGAAUGGAAUUCCUGGUGGAGCGGUGGAAUGCGCAGAUAUCAGGAGGAACACCAGUGGCGAAGGCGGUUCUCUGGGCCUUUCCUGACGCUGAGGAGCGAAAGCGUGGGGAGCGAACAGGCUUAGAUACCCUGGUAGUCCACGCUGUAAACGGUGGGUACUAGGUGUGGGGUCCAUUCCACGGGUUCCGUGCCGUAGCUAACGCUUUAAGUACCCCGCCUGGGGAGUACGGCCGCAAGGCUAAAACUCAAAGGAAUUGACGGGGCCCCGCACAAGCGGCGGAGCAUGCGGAUUAAUUCGAUGCAACGCGUAGAACCUUACCUGGGUUUGACAUGGAUCGGGAGUGCUCAGAGAUGGGUGUGCCUCUUUUGGGGUCGGUUCACAGGUGGUGCAUGGCUGUCGUCAGCUCGUGUCGUGAGAUGUUGGGUUAAGUCCCGCAACGAGCGCAACCCUUGUUCACUGUUGCCAGCACGUUAUGGUGGGGACUCAGUGGAGACCGCCGGGGUCAACUCGGAGGAAGGUGGGGAUGACGUCAAGUCAUCAUGCCCCUUAUGUCCAGGGCUUCACGCAUGCUACAAUGGCCGGUACAGAGAGUGGCGAGCCUGUGAGGGUGAGCGAAUCUCGGAAAGCCGGUCUCAGUUCGGAUUGGGGUCUGCAACUCGACCUCAUGAAGUCGGAGUCGCUAGUAAUCGCAGAUCAGCAACGCUGCGGUGAAUACGUUCCCGGG